rnacentral:tRNA from 1 species
GAGGGUACAGCUCAGUGAUAGAGUGUGUGCUUAGCAUGCAUGAGGUCCUGGGUUCAAUCCUCGGUACCUCCA